rnacentral:rRNA from 1 species
UUGGAAUUGCUAGUAAUCGCGGAUCAGCAUGCCGCGGUGAAUACGUUCCCUGGCCUUGUACACACCGCCCGUCACACCAUGGGAGCCGGUAAUACCCGAAGUCAGUAGCCUAACCGCAAGGGGGGCGCUGCCGAAGGUAGGAUUGGCGACUGGGGUGAAGUCGUAACAAGGUACC